AACGCACAUUGCGCCCGUCAGUAUUCUGGCGGGCAUGCCUGUUCGAGCGUCAUUACGCCCCUCAAGCCCCCUGUGGGUUUGGUGUUGGGGAUCGGCGAAGCUUUUUCAGCACGCGCCGUCCCUUAAAUCUAUUGGCGGUCUCGCUGUGGCCUUUCCUCUGCGCAGUAGUAACUCACUCGCAACAGGAGCCCGGCGCGGUCCACUGCCGUAAAACCCCCCCAUCAACUUCUUACAGUUGACCUCGAAUCAGGUAGGACUACCCGCUGAACUUAA
rnacentral:misc_RNA from 1 species